UCUUACAUUGUGGGAAGGGCAGAGGCUUUGGAAUCUUUCCAGCUUCAUUAUCAGUGCCAAACAGUCGUUCCACUGAGGGUGUAUCCAGAUUUAUGUGCACACUGACUGAAGCAUAGCAUGGGUGAAGAACUCACAGGUGAAAGUCAACGAAUCUGAGCAUGGUAGAACAAGCCCUCUCGCCCGCUGCUGCUUCUGCCCAGCCACCUUCCAUGUCUGCACAAAGAACCGCCACGAGCUCAUCCAACAGAAAAGAACAGUCGCUCUCUGCUGGCCGUCUCUGAGUGCUCCUUGGUUGGACAGGGAGUAAUUUUGGCACAUCUAAAUCACACCUGUCGCUGAUUAAGAUUCAAUGGAAUUUUAUCAUCUUGAGGUUUGGCAAGAUGGAUUAGGAAGAUUGCAAGGCUCCAUAUAUGCCAAUACAGCUGUUUCAAGGGCACUUCGUCCUUGUUACCACCUACAUUUAACCCUGUCUGACCUUGGAAAUCCUCGCCCAUGCAUUGAAGUUCUCCUGCAGUAUAACGGCUUCCCAGUUACAAAUUUCAGCUACCAAGCAAGCCGCCAGUCCUUGUCACUGCCUCCCACAUGUGCUCAACCAAAGAACCACAACCAAUGGACCAUCUCCCUUUCCCUUUUUCAAUAAACUUUUCUUCACUAC